GCAGGAGGGGUCACUGCCCACUCCACGCUCCGACCAAUCUCGAUCUCAGCUCCUUCCUAUAGUGUGGUCUCUUGAAGUAAUCAACGAUUUCUGUUUUCCUGUAGUCAUAAUUUUACCAGUGUCACUUCAGACCUGAGUAUUUACACAAACUUGCUGGUGACACUGCCACUCCUGAGCCCCAAACUGCGGACCCCUCUCCUGUCACCUCCCGCUGCUGUCACCCACCCGUGUCCCCAGGGCGUGGAGCUGAGCUCGCUGCAGGCAUUCAACUUCAGCAUGAUGGAGACGGAGUGUGCCGCCAGCGCCCGCAGCGACCCCGAGGACUGCGCCUUCAAGGAGAACGGGGUCAUCCUGAAGUGCUUGGGGACGGUGAAGAUGCUGCAGGAAUCCCCCGAGAUCGACCUGA